GGUCAAGUUAUAAAGGGCAUACGGUGGAUGCCUUGGCGCUAAGAGCUGAUGAAGGACGUGGUAAGCUGCGAUAAGCUACGGGGAGCUGCAAGCAAGUUUCGAUCCGUAGAUUUCCGAAUGGGGCAACCUGCUUGGAGUAAUAUCCAAGUAUCAUAUACUGAAUACAUAGGUAUAUGAAGGCAACCCGGGGAACUGAAACAUCUAAGUACCCGGAGGAAAAUAAAGAAAACUCGAUUCCCCUAGUAGCGGCGAGCGAAAAGGGAAAAGCCCAAACCAAUCCUUCGGGAUUGGGGUUGUGGGACCUGCAUAAAGUUCAAUUUUCUUAGUCGAAUAGAUCUGGAAAGGUCAACCGCAGAAGGUAACAGUCCUGUAAGCGAAAAGAAAAGCGAACCGGCGGGUAUCCCGAGUACCACGAGGCACGUGAAAUCUCGUGGGAAUCUGGGGGGACCACCCCCAACC
rnacentral:ncRNA from 1 species